AAUUCUGAAAAGAAGAAUAAUAGAAUAACACAAUAUGAAGUAUAAAAUAAAUGUUGUGAUGUUGUUUUAGAAUUAUUUUCUUUCAGAAUGAUCAAGUUGAAAGGAAAUAAGUAGACUAUCUAUAGUAAACACACAAGAUCGAUCACCAAUCAAUAACAGUAUAAGAUGCCAGAUUUCAAUCAAAUGAGAUGAUUUGUUUUGAAUUUUGGAUUUCAUUAUUAUGUAACUUGAAUUCAAUCUGCUGCAUUAUUAUGCUCAGAAUAAAGUGGCAAACUACUAAGUGAGUCUUUGGUAUAUAGUUUUCCCACCUAAUCCUCCAUAAUCAUAGAGAUAAUUUGUGAAAACCAUUUUCUCACAUUAUCAAAGAAGUGUUUUUCCCUUGAGAGUUCCCAUGCUGUUUUUUUUAUACAGAUGCUUCUGAAUUUUUUUAGGUUGACUAGUGACUACGCUUUCCGCUUGAGUGUUAAUUAGGGAUUUGUCAUUUCAUUUGUCGGAAGUUUAAAAAGAUCUUCUAUAACAAGGUAACAAGGUUCUAUUACUUUUUCAUUUUUAUAAUUGUUAGAUUUAUAAUUUUAUGCAUUAUUUCUUAUAUAAUUUUAUAGUUCGAUUUAAGAAUGUAGGAUUGUAUUCUUAGAUUUAAGGUGAAUCUUAUUUCUUAAAUUACAGUCUUACGG
rnacentral:lncRNA from 1 species